GCCCAGGUUUGGGGUUAGAAAAAUAGGAGCGUGAUCUGGCCAGGACUCAGACAAAGGCCUGGGGGCUGGUUGACUAGGGGCAUCAGGUUACCCCUGCCACACAGUCGGCUCCCCCAGUAGCUCGUGGGGGUGUGUGCUUUCCCCCAAAGAUUAUAAUUAAAUGACUGAUCAGGGCCCCUGGCUGAGGCCUUGGCAGGAGGGUUUCAUUACAGGAAGGACUGCAGGUCCAGGGCUUCCAGGCCUGGGGAGGCGUGUCCCUGUGACAGUAAUAACACGAGCAGCAGUGAUCAUUCAGCCUGUGGAGUGCUUCCUGCCGGCCGGGCCCCAGGUGAACAAGGCCGCAUGCCUCAUUUCUCUUGCAGCUCUGAGAGGCAGGCCCCAGGUCCCAAAUAGGCAAACAGGGACUCGGAGACGCUUCAGAGCCCCCGGCUCACCUGGGGGUCACCCCCCUCACCCCUUCAGCAACGUCGGGGUGAGGGGGUGCAGAGUUGCCUCUGUGUUCUCUUCUAGAAAUGCGAAUCACCUGACCUCAUCGAGUUGUUGUGAAACUGAGUGGGCACGCAGGGAGGACGCAGAAGAUGCCCCUUCUCUUCCUUCCUUUUUACCAGAAUGAAGGAGGGCCAGGCUUUCGGGAGCUCAUCCCAGGAACGCCCUGUUCCUCACCCACCACCUCUUUCUGUGUGUGUCAAGGCCUACAGGCAACAUGCAGAGAGUGCAGGGAGGCUUCAGAGGAGGCUGCCUUGGGGCAAUUUUUGCCAGGGAGGAGAUGGAAGCCCACCCUGACCUCCUCUGGCUCUUGAGGUGACCUGGACUUCCUCUGUCGAAGAAUGUUGCCUCUUUCACGUGCUAAUCUCCCAUUCCAAGCUGGACCCCCUGACUGGGACCCCAAAGAGGGCUGUAUCUCCAGAGGCCGGCAAGAACCCAGCACAGGGCAGCCAUGGGGGCCAGGUGUUGGGUGAAUGAUAUCACUGAGCACCUGUUGCGUGCCGAACCCUUCACACACGAGUCCGGCGUUUAACAUCUUUCUUCUGGAAUGCUGGCUUUGCCAAGACUAGUGCAUAGCAAGCACUCCAGGAUUACGUGAUGGAAGUGCUGAGAUGAACUGUCACUCAGAGGAAAGAAGACUUCCUGAGGACGGGGCCUUAGCAGACUGAGCUCAUGAGACAGUAAAAAUAAGAAGAAAAUAAUAAUUGUCACUAUUUAUUAUGAUCCGGGAUCAUUAUUUAUUAUCAUUAUUUAUUAUGAUCCCAGAUCGUAAUAAAUGGUUCAUCUUCCCAGGGGGUUAGUACUGCUCUUGUGCCCAUCUCACAGAUGGGGGAACUGAGGCACAGAGAAGUAAAAGUAGAAACCCCAAGUCACACAGUCAGUGAGUGGCAGAGCCAGGAUUAGACCAACGCUGUUUGUCUGAGGAGACUGUCCUGAGCUUAUUACAACACACCUUCCAAAAAGAGAAGUGCUGAUGGCUGUACCCAUUUUGCAGAUGAGGAAGCAGAGGUUCUGAGAAGCGAAAGGGCUGGCCCGUGUCUGGAAGCAGAGAUGGUGGCUCAGCUGGAGACGCCCAAGGGAGCGCCCCAGCCUCCUGGGUUAGUGCUCUAAAGGAGGGGGGAGCUGUCCCCUGCCUGUUCUUGUGUCUGGCCAAUACCCCAGCCUCUGUUUACCCAGCCCAACACCCAAGAGCUGCCUCUUCCGCCUGCCCUGGAGUCUCGGGUGCCUUCACAAUAGGAUGCUCUGUCUGUGCAGCUGGUUUUCAUUCAAGCCCUUUGUGCUGAAAAUAAAAAAAUGAAAAGAAAACUUGGCUCCUCCCUCCCUGCUUUGCUUCCCAGGGAGAGAGGAUCCCAGCCUUUUCUUUCCCGCAUUCUGGGGCCCAGAGAUGUCCAUCGUCUGUCCAAGAUCACACAGCAGGGUUGGAGCCAGGACCUGGCCGUGGGCUUCUCAUCCAGUGCUCUGCUCACGGUCCCCGGCCUCUGGCUUCAAGGCCGGUCACCCCUUCCUGGCCCCUGCAUCUGCCUCUUCCUGACUCCGUCUUCCAGGCCUGCGGGGAGCAGAGGAAGUGGGGCUGAUGCUCCCCUAGGCUCUUGACGUGCCGGGUGCCCUGCCCCCCGCAGAUCACAGGCUCCUCACUGCAGUGCAGUGAGGUCUUGUCACGCCCCUCUGAACAGAGUAGGAAACCAAGGCUGCGGAAGGCAGAGGGCCUGAGGUCCCGCAGCUGGGGAGAACGGAGCUGGGAUUAGAGCUCGUGCUCCCACGGCUGAGUCGCUGCCGCACCUGGCACCUCAUCUGGGGCCCUUGAUGGAGGCCCUGGCCCUGGGGAUGAUGGAGGAUCCUGGAGG
ensembl:lncRNA